UGGAGGUUCUAGUUGUCUGUUAACUUUAUUUUGAUUGAAACGGAGGCAUAACAUGUCCUAGAAAAAUAAAGAUUUAUGAUACAAACUAGACACAGGGGUCAGGGUUGCCCCAGGGGUGAGGGGAUCUUUGGUCUGGGGCUGGACGUGAUCAGGCGGCCUCUAGUCCUGGAGGAGCCUCACCCAGGCCUCCCCGCACCUGCCUCCCUUUUCAGCAGGAAGGGCCCAGCUGGGAGGGGCUGGUGGUCCGGGGCGCGGACUGCCUGUCCUCCACCCUCCAAGUGGUUCUGGGAACGCUGGAUGUCAGUGGAGCUAUUAAUAGUGUUUUAGGGAGUGAUAGGGAGAGGGCUCAAGGGGGCUGGAAAUCCAGCCACGUGGCAGGACUUUCAGCUCACAGCUAGUACUGGGUUGAUGGGGGCACAGCCCCGGAGUCAGGACCCCCAAAUCUCCCCAUAUACUGGGGACACAGAGCAAGGAGAGGGCUGUAACAGAGGAGGCCUCCAAUCCAGAGGACGGUGUCCCCGGGCAGGAGCAGACAGUGGGGAGCCCCCUGGCACCUCCAGGGCUUGGAGAGGUUAAGGGGCCCAGGGAUACGUAGUGUGUGGGAUCUUCAGCUCCCAGCGGUCAUGUCCGAGCGAUCCCCUCGUCUGGAGCUGUCCUGGACCUUGAGCACCAUUGUCAGGAGAGGCGAUGAGGCCCGGCCGGGUCACAGUUCCAGGGGGUCUUCCACAGGCACCGACUGUAGCUGGGUCAGAACCUUGGUCUCGGCUUCCAGCCCCUCAUCGACUUCGCCCCCCGCCGUGGACCCCAGGAGCAGUCCUUCAGGGUCAGGGUCCGGCAGCCUCAGCACGGUGUGGGGGGCCUGCGUCCCCAGCCCCUUCUCUGCUUCUAGCAGCCCUUCUGCGCCUGCGCUCAGUUCCAGGCCUGCCGGCCAGACGGGCAUAGCUGCAGGCGACAGCAUGAGCCCUUCCGGCGGGGGCGCCGGGAAGCCCGGCAGGAGGCCGGAGGAGUCCGCAGGGAAGGGCAGGCUGGCGGCAGUGGUGGCGGCAGGGGCGGGUGGCGGCUGUGGCGGCUGAUGAGCAGAGAGCGGGCCGAGGGCGUGGACCUCCGGGAGGGCAGGGCUGGGCGCCACUGGGAGGGCUCCCUCGGGCACCGAGAUGGCUGCGUCUGGCUUCAAGGGCAGGGCCAGGCUGGGGGCAGGUGGCAGGACCUGGGAGACCAGCAUGCUUGUGGGGAAGGUGGCGGUGAGGAUGAUCUUGCCCUGUUGCACGGCCACGCCUGUCACGAUGGGGCUGCCAGACACGGGGUUGGCCAGGAGAAAGUUUCCUGUGGGGACGAGAGGUGGGCCAGGCGUCGGGAGGGUUCUGGGACACACCGCCAGGGACAGGCUGCCCCACCUCCCAGAAGCCCACCGACAGCACUCUCGGCCAGCCCAGCCGUCACCCAGGCCCCAGCCAGGCAGGAGGUACCUGGGGCCGCAGCCGAGGGCAGCUGCAGGGCGGUCACGCCCACGCCGGAGUUUAUCAGGUGCACGUUGGUAGGGCCCGCGGCAGCCGCCACCUUCACAGGACUGCCCGGCCCCGCGGCUAACAGUUGCAGUGGCCCCACAGCCUGGGGCAGCGUCACCACCUGUGAGGUGGGUACCACCUGGGGCAAGUUCAACAGCGGGGAGGUGGGGCCCAGGCCUGCGGGGUACCCAGGGGGUGGGGAAAGCGGCACCACUUGGGGAGCAGCUACAGAAGGCACCGGUCCCGGGGGCAGAGGAAAGGUGGCGGCCGGCGGGGGGCCGGGCACCACUUGGGGCAGAGGCCCCGGAGCCUCUUCUCCGGCCGGCACCGAAGCAGCCCCCUGGGCCUCCUUGGUCUCCGGGGCCUCGGGCUGAGCCUCCUCUAGUCGAACCUCCCCGGUCUGAGGGUCCAGGACCAGGGAGGUCUUGCCCUCACUGGCCCCCUGGGGACUGGGCUGCGGGGGCGGUGGUGGUGGAGGAGCGCCACUGCCCCCCGUGAGCAGCAGGGGGCCCAGGCUGGAGGCCUCCCCCAGGGCCAGGCUGUUGAUGAUGACGGGGCUCCCAUUGAGGAGCACGGCUGGGGAGCUGCCUGCAGCCAGGAAGCUCCCAUUCACCAGGAUGGAAGAGGAGGCAGGGCACGGUGCUGGAGGGGCGGCCCCCGCCAGAAAUAUGGAGCCCUGGGCAGGGGCCUCGGAUGCCACUGGAGCCACGCCCCUGUCCAGGUCCUCGGGACUGCGGCUGGACUCGUCCUCAGUCGUGGGGUUCCCGUCAGACUCGCUGGCCAGAGAAAGGAUCGUGAGUUGUGGUCCUCGAUGCCUGAGCUUCCGCAUCGGCCAGCAAGCUGCCCUGCAGGAGCACAGGCCCACCACUGCCUCCCCACCUCUCCCCGGCCCAAACUUCUGUGGCCAAUUUCAGGAGGUUAUAAAACCUCCUCAGUCAGACCACCCAAGGCCCCCUGAGACAGAGCGUUUCCAAGUCCAGCACUGAUACCUCUUCAUAAGGGCCGAAGCUGGCCACAUCGGAGGGAGGAGGCCCUCCUCUCCCAGCCCCUUGGCCUCGGGGCCCCAGAGGCUGAGCACUGGGCUGCCCGAAGUCCCCUGGGUCAGGCUGCAAGCAGCCCAGCGUCUUCGGAGAGUGGAGAGGCAGCCGCCCGCUCAGUUCCCGGUGCCUUCCCCCCACCCCCGGGGCGUCAGAGAAGGGAGAGAGGCCGGCGCGAGGGGUGGGAGGGGAAGGGCUUGGGUUACAGGGAAACCGGAGCUGGGGAAGGUUCACGUUUCACAACAAAGACAGACGACGGACCACGCUGUUUGGGCACACAGGGGGGUGGGGGGGGGUGAGGAAGAGCCUCGGUCAGGGAAAGGCCCGGCAGCCCGCGGGCGUGAAAGAUGCCCCCACGCGGGAUGGAUGGACAAAGGCCCGCCCCCCUUUCCGCAGUCCCCCCGUUUUCUUCACUGCCUCCCCCUGGCCAAGAACAUGGAUGGGAUUCGGGAUGGAGCUCUGAAUGGAGCAGAGGGAAGAGGUCUCCCAGCCUACGCGACAGAAGUGAGGUCGGGGAGAGGGCCCCGGGCGUGUGCCAGUUCCGUCCACACGUAUUCCCUGCGCUGGGGGGCGGGGAGCGCCUGAAGGUGUGUGCAGGAGGUGUCCCCAGGAGCUCGGCGCGGGUAUGGGGGAGAGGGGGUUGGUAGGUAGCACGUCCCCGGGAAAGCGGGACUUGCGCCGCCCGGGUCCCCUCACCUCUUGCAGGGCGCGCCGCCGCCCCCGGUCCGAUCGCGCUGUCGCCGGUUCUUGAACCAGUUGCUGACCUGCGUGAGCGAGAGGCCGGUGAGCGUGGCCAGGCGGCGCUUCUCGUCCGGCGUAGGGUAGCGGUUGCCGCGAUAGCAGGCCUUAAGCGCGGCGCGGGAGCGCUCCUUGAAGCAGUAGACGGUCUCCUCGCCGUCCCAUAUGGUCUUGGGCAGAGGGAACUUCUUGCGCAGACGGUACUUGUCCACUGCGCCCAGCGCGCGGCCGCGGGCUCGCUCGGCCUCGUGGUAGCGCGCGCGCAGGUAGAGGUCCUGCAGAAAGGCGUGGUGGGCGGCGGGGAAGGGGCGGCUCUCGAGCAGUCGGUAGAGCUCGGCGUACUCGCCUCGCUGGAAGGCCACCAGGGCCCGAGCGCGCAGCACCGGAUCGCUGCCACGUAGGCGCUCGGCCGGGGGCAGUGCGCCCAGGAAGCGGCUCAAGCGGCCGGCGUGGCCCGCCUGUAGCAGCGCCUCGCAAACGCACGCCACCUGCUCGGGCGAGAAGCGGAGGCCCGUGGGCGGCUCGGCAGCGGCCUCGGGGGGCGACCCGGGGACGCCCGGGGAUCCCGGGCCCUCCGCUCCCGCCGCCGCUUCGCCCGCCCCGGCCCCGGCUGCGGCCGCCGCCUCACCCUCGGCCGCCUGCAAAGUCUGCAGGAGCUGGCGCGCUUCCUCCUCCUCUUCUUCGGUCGCCGCCGCCGCCACCGCCUCCCCCCCAGCCGCCGGCCCCGCGCUCGGCUCCGCAGGCAAGGUAGCCAUGUUUUGCAACUUUGGGAAGUUCCUCCCUCCUUCUCCUCCUCCCUCGGGCUUUCCCCAGCCCCCCCCCCCCCCCCCCCCCCCCCCCCCCCUCCCCCCCCCCCCCCCCCCCCCCCCCCCCCCCUCCCCCCCCCCCCCCCCCCCCCCCCCCCCCCCUCCCCCCCCCCCCCCCCCCCCCNNNNNNNNNNNNNNNNNNNNCCCCCCCAGCCGCCGGCCCCGCGCUCGGCUCCGCAGGCAAGGUAGCCAUGUUUUGCAACUUUGGGAAGUUCCUCCCUCCUUCUCCUCCUCCCUCGGGCUUUCCCCAGCCCCCUCCCCCGCCCGUCCCCCCCCCUCCGCCCUCCCCUUCGCGCUUCCCGAUCUUCCACCCCCCGCCGACCCCGCGUCUCCCCCAGCAGUGCCAGGCCCAGCUCUCCACUAGGGUCUCUGUCCCAGUGUCUGUGUGUGUGCCCGCCCCCCUCCCCGUC
rnacentral:lncRNA from 1 species